rnacentral:hammerhead_ribozyme from 1 species
AUCCAGCUGAUGAGUUGUAAAUAGGACGAUACGCGCGUCCUGGAU